UAUUUUUAUAGGAAAUUUAUUCCUCUACAACUUUGUCGAAGAUAGUUUUUCUCUAUCUUAACGAGAAAUGUGCUUAAAUUGAGCUAAUCAGUAUUGAUGUUUUCUGUAAGCCAAAUAUACCAAAAAUAGGGCUCAGAAUUUCAUUAUUUUUUAUUUUACAUCCUUCUUCGAAUCCCUUGAAACUUUGUAAGUUUAGGAAGGUUCAUGAAGGCUAUCUAUAAUAAAAAUUUGAAGCCUCAGUCCCUUUUAUUUUUAGAAAAUAGUGAGUAUUGAAAUUUUCGUUUUGACAAAUUUUGCCCCAGUCUCCCCUACUUAUAAUAAUUAAUAGGAAAAUAUUUAGUCACAUAAGGUACUAUACUCCCUUCUUUCCCGAAAAAAGUCGUGCGAUUGCUACAUUUUUUAUGACAAAAUGUACGACUUUUUAGGAACAGAGGGAGUAUUAAAAUCUUCAUAACUUGCUGUUACGUACUUUUUGAAGUUAUGUCCUGAACAGAAAAGAGUGGAGAAUUUCAAGCAUGCAUGACUUUAAAAAAAAAAAAAAAACAAUAAUAAAUCACCUGUUGUAUCUGCCGUUGUCGUAUCUGUAUUUGGUAGAAACUAGAUUCAAACGUCGCUUCUUAAAUCAAAUGCUGACACAAAAGAAAAGCAGAUACGACAAUAGUUAAAGCAAACGACGAUAUGGAAAAUGUACUCGUACUAUAUAUCAGGCAAUACCGAUAAAUAUUACCAAAACACGGGAUCUAGAAUUCAGUCUAGAAGAAGUUUGGCCAAAUUCCAGAAUAUUUCUAAAUAUUAAAUGUUUGUUUGUUUAUUGGUACUUUCUGUAUUGGGCAUUAAGCCUCUAUUACAACCAAGUUAAAUUAUAAACAAUUUUAAUGGUUAUUGCAGAUUUAAUGGAUUCAAUUACCAGUCAAAAUUAUCCAAAACUUUCGCCAAAUUAGAAAUUCAAGUAGGGGAAAGUGCCCAUGCUUUAUACCAUUGGAAGCUUCGUAAUAACUAAAUUUUUCCUAUGUUUCUCAAUUAACGUGACUCCGCAAUUUAUUUUAAAAACUGGCCAAUUUCCCAUAGUUUUUAAAAUAUGAUUGCGAUGAGUCACAUAUAUGUUAUAUUACAUAGAAAAUUUAGCCAUUACGAAGCUUCCAAUGGUAUCAAGCAUGGGCACUUUCCCCUAGUAAAAUCUAAAAUAUUUGAAACCAGUUUUAUUUACUCAAUCUUUACUUGUUUUAAAAAUAUAGUUUUUUUUUCAAAAGAAUUUUAAUUCUUUUUUCCAAUUUUAGAACUACUUAAAGAAAAUAAUAGUAUAGCAUAAAAUUCAAAUAAAUUAGCAAUAGUGGUCUAAUGAUGAAAAUAAAAAAUUUGCAAUCUUAAUAUCUUAAGAUACGAGCGACUUAUCUGUUCAUUACUGAUACCACUGAUACGAUAAUUUCAUACUGUAAUGAUAGAUGCAAUAUGCAAAACAUACAGCUCAACGGUCAUAAUUUACAGCUUUUCUUUCUCAAAUUAAAACGCUUAUUAGGAUACUUUUGAUAUUUAAAUUUAAAAGUAUAAUACUAAGGGUUUAAUUUUAAUUGAUAGAAAUAUUUCUUUAGACUAAAUUUUCUUUUCUUAAAAAUGCAGUCAAAAUAUUCUUAUUUGCGUCUUUGAAUGUGCUAACCUUUUAAUAUUUCAAUAUUUCUUUUAUUUCUCAAAGCAAAAAUUCUAUUCUAUAAACUGUACUAUUAACUAUUUUUAUUAUUAACUUUGCUUCGAUUAAUCAAAGAAAAUUUUUGUUUAAAGAAUAAGAGAAGAAUUGAAGUAUCCAAAGCUCGUACAUUUAAAGGUAGAUCACUCUUUCCUAUACGAAACUCGCUGAAAUAAUUGAAAAUAUAAACUAAUUUUUGAAAUGCUAAACCAGAAAUUGAAUUUAAAUAAAAUCCGUGAUAUUAUGUUGUGUUUUUACAGUUUGUAGCUGUUUUUGCUGCCCUCGUGGCUAUCUCAGUUGCUGUCCCUAGGCCUGAUAACUAUGGAGCAUCCGGUGGUAUCCAUGGUGGUGGUCAUGGUGGAGUUCAUGGUGGUGGUAGCCAUGGUCUUCGUGCACCAGUAGUACGGCAUGAACAUGGAGGAGUUCAUGCACCUGCGGAAUCCCGACAAUUAGGACAUGGUGGAAGGCGCAGUGCUCAUGGAGGUGGACAUGAUGGACAUGGUGGACAUGGUGGACACGGUGGAUAUGACAGAGGACACAACACGCGUUACUAAACCUCAAACAGCAAUCUCUACAACAGCCAGUCUAGAAGAGAAUCUUCUAUGUUCUUUGCAAAAAAAGGUCGCACUUACAACAAAAAAAAAAAACAAACAAAACAA